rnacentral:tRNA from 1 species
GCGCCCAUAGUUCAACGGAUAGAACAAGGGCCUUCUAAGCCUUAAAUCUGGGUUCGAUUCCCGGUGGGCGCA